rnacentral:rRNA from 1 species
UACGGAGGAUCCAAGCGUUAUCCGGAUUUAUUGGGUUUAAAGGGUGCGCAGGCGGGAUGUUAAGUCGGCGGUGAAAUUUUGCAGCUCAACUGUAAAAGUGCCUUCGAUACUGGCUUUCUUGAGUGUGGAUGAAGUAGGCGGAAUUUGUGGUGUAGCGGUGAAAUGCUUAGAUAUCACGAGGAACUCCGAUUGCGCAGGCAGCUUACUAAACCACUACUGACGCUCAUGCACGAAGGCGUGGGGAUCAAACAGGAUUAGAUACCCCCGUA